rfam:Citrus sinensis cultivar Ridge Pineapple sweet orange scaffold00011_contig_249, whole genome shotgun sequence.
GGGGAACAUCCAAGAGUUGAGAUGUUGCCUGAUACAAUCUUCCUAUAGAAAACUCUGUAAAUUCCUGCUUGUAGCACUUAAGUAAAGUUCUGCAAGUCUCAUAUCUCCAGAGACAUGA